GAAAUGAUUGUGCCAGAGAA
rnacentral:misc_RNA from 1 species